rnacentral:tRNA from 1 species
GGUUUCGUGGCCGAGUGGCUAGGCGCCGGUCUGCAAAACCGUUUACUCCGGUUCGAAUCCGGACGAAACCU